rnacentral:rRNA from 1 species
AUAACAAUGAUUCCCCUAGUAACUGCGGGUGAAGAGGGACAAGCUCAAAUUUUAAAUCCGUCGGGUUUCACCUGAUCGAGUUGUAAUUUGAAGAGGCGUUUUCCGCGUUUUUGAUCAGUCCAAGUCCUUUGGGAUAGGGCAUCAUGGAGGGUGAGAAUCCCGUUCGGCUGAUCAGAUUCGCUUUACGAUACGUCAUCUAAGAGUCAAGUUGUUUGGGAAUGCAGCUUAAAAUGGGAGGUAAAUUUCUCCUAAGGCUAAAUAACGGCGAGAGACCGAUAGCGAACAAGUACCGUGAGGGAAAGAUGAAAAGAACUUUGAAAAGAGAGUUAAACAGUACGUGAAAUUGUUGAAAGGGAAACGAUUGAAGCCAGUCGUACCGGUGGGUAAUCAGCCUUUCGGCGUGAUUAUGUGGAGCGUGAGGAGUUAAACGCCCUCAUGCCUGCAUAUUCGUGUUCUUUGGGUGUACUUACCCGCAUGGUAGGUUAACAUCAAUUUCGAACGUCAUAAAAUGGUUGGAGGAAUGUAGCUUCGAUCUCGUAUUGAAGUGUUAUAGCCUUCGGCAGAUGUGAUGAUCGGGAUUGAGGAUUGCAACGGAUACCCCUCGGGCUACCCGUCUGAUCUCUGAAAGUUACUCUGGUGCCGAAAGCUCGCUUACGGUCAUCAAAGUUGACGUUCAACAGGUUAGAACGGGAUAAAUUCGUUAAGGAUGU